UACAGAGGUCCCAAGCGUUGUUCGGAUUCACUGGGCGUAAAGGGUGCGUAGGUGGCCAGGUAAGUUUGAUGUGAAAGCUCGGAGCUUAACUCCGAAAUGGCAUUGAAUACUCUCUGGCUAGAGGUUUGGAGGGGAGACUGGAAUUCUCGGUGUAGCAGUGAAAUGCGUAGAUAUCGGGAGGAACAACCGAUGGCGAAGGCAGCCCCCUGGGCCAACACUGACGCUCAGGCA
rnacentral:rRNA from 1 species